rnacentral:rRNA from 1 species
CCUACGGGAGGCAGCAGUAGGGAAUCUUCCACAAUGGGCGAAAGCCUGAUGGAGCAACGCCGCGUGGGUGAAGAAGGUCUUCGGAGCGUAAAACCCGGUUGGUAGAGAAGAAAGUGCGUGAGAGUAACUGUUCACGUGUAGACGGUAUCGAACCAGAAAGCCAAGGCUAACUACGUGCCCGCAGCCGCGGUAAUACGGAGGUGGCAAGCGUUAUCCGGAUUGAUUGGGCGUAAAGGGAACGCAGGCGGUCUUUUAAGUCUGAGGUGAACGCCUUCGGCUUAACCGGAGUAGUUCCUUUGAAACUGGGAGACUUGAGUGCAGCAGAGGAGAGUUGAACUCCAUGUGUAGC